UACGUAGGGUGCGAGCGUUAAUCAGAAUUACUGGGCGUAAAGCGUGCGUAGACGGUAGCGUAAGUCAGAUGUGAAAGCCCCGGGCUCAACCUGGGAACUGCAUUUGAGACUGCUCUGCUCGGGUGCGGAAGAGGGAAGCGGAAUUUCCGGUGUAGCGGUGAAAUGCGUAGAUAUCGGAAGGAACACCAGUGGCGAAAGCGGCUUCCUGGUCCGACACCGACGUUCAGGCACGAAAGCGUGGGGAGCAAACAGG
rnacentral:rRNA from 1 species